UCGAGAAUCUUUAGCAAUGCCCGAAAGGGUGACUAUGCGACGCCGCGUGCAGGAUGAAGGCCUUCGGGUUGUAAACUGCUGUCAGGGAGGAAGAAACCACUGGUGUUAACAGCAUCGGUGCUGACAUCACCCCCAAAGGAAGCCACGGCUAACUCUGUGCCAGCAGCCGCGGUAAGACAGAGGUGGCAAGCGUUAAUCGGAAUUACUGGGCGUAAAGCGUGCGCAGGCGGUUGUGUAAGUCAGAUGUGAAAUCCCCGGGCUCAACCUGGGAACUGCAUUUGUGACUGCAAGGCUAGAGUACGGCAGAGGGGGAUGGAAUUCCGCGUGUAACAGUGAAAUGCGUAGAGAUGUGGAGGAAUACCAAUGGCGAAGGCAGCCUCCUGGCCUAAUACUGACGCUC
rnacentral:rRNA from 1 species